rnacentral:rRNA from 1 species
GAUGAACGCUGGCGGCGUGCCUAAUACAUGCAAGUCGAGCGAACGGACGAGAAGCUUGCUUCUCUGAUGUUAGCGGCGGACGGGUGAGUAACACGUGGAUAACCUACCUAUAAGACUGGGAUAACUUCGGGAAACCGGAGCUAAUGCCGGAUAAUAUUUUGAACCGCAUGGUUCAAAAGUGAAAGACGGUCUUGCUGUCACUUAUAGAUGGAUCCGCGCUGCAUUAGCUAGUUGGUAAGGUAACGGCUUACCAAGGCAACGAUGCAUAGCCGACCUGAGAGGGUGAUCGGCCACACUGGAACUGAGACACGGUCCAGACUCCUACGGGAGGCAGCAGUAGGGAAUCUUCCGCAAUGGGCGAAAGCCUGACGGAGCAACGCCGAGUGAGUGAUGAAGGUCUUCGGAUCGUAAAACUCUGUUAUUAGGGAAGAACAUAUGUGUAAGUACCUGUGCACAUCUUGACGGUACCUAAUCAGAAAGCCACGGCUAACUACGUG